AUGAUAUAAGGCUCCGUAAUGUAGGAGAGUUACACAGCAAGUUUUACUUUUAGUUACAUUCAUAGUUAAGCAUAGUUCUGGUUGUUGUUUGUACUUUGUAGAUAUAGCUAUAGCCAUAGAUAUAGUUAGUUAGUUAUGGAUAUAUUUAGUCAAUGGCUUUAGUCAUUGUUAGUAGUAGCUAUGGUUAAAGUUGUACUAACAUAUUUAUAGUAAGUAGCGGUUAUAGUUGGUAGUUAUGGUAACCGCUGGUUGUUUUAUGCCUAAACUUAGUAUUUGUAUUUCAGGGCUUGUUUUUGGAAGGCAUGUAUUUGUGUUUCUCUCUGUGUUUUUAAGCGAAGGAAUAAGAGUGUCAGGGGGGGACAGAGAGAGGGAGAGAGAUUAAGAAAGAAAUACAGUGAUAGAGAGAGAGAAAGAGAGAGGAUGAGGGGGGAAAUGGGAGUGUGAGAUAGAGUGUGAUAGAUGGAGGGAAAUGAGCGAACAGAGAGUUAAGUGGCACAGGGAAAGAGAGAGAGAGAGAGAGAGAGAGAGAGAGAGAGAGAGAGAGAGAGAGAGAGAGAGAGAGAGAGAGAGAGAGAGAGAGAGAGAGAGAGUGUGAGUGAGAGGCAGACAGAGAGAGAUAGUGAGUGACAGCCUAUUGGCUCACAGAAUGUAAAGCUUGCAUCCCGACAUGCUCUUGAAGCACAUUAGGCACAAAGUCAUUUACAAGAACGAGAGCACAAACAAAGUGCACCAACCCACACCCACUAACAGCACAGAAACCCAAUUCUAUUAGAAACCACAGCAGCCUGCGAGACCUCCCCCCAACGCCCUUCAACGUGUGAAUGUAGGGCAAACUUUAGCGCGCUCAAAACCAGAGUGAUGUCACUGCCUACUCACCGCUGGAAGUGAGCCAGCGCUGGGAGCUAUCGCUUGGAGCCGGCGCUGGCAGCCAGCGCUGGGAGCUAGCUGUGGGAGCUAGCUCUGGGAGCUAGCGCCGGGACUUCGCCGGCGGUUAGCGAACAUGGCAGGCUGCUUCACACCUCCCCAAGGUCCCCCUGACGUCACGUCUGCGUGCGGUGGGUGCCACGCGACGCCACGAGUCUACGACACACACACACACACACACACACGAUACCCACAAACACACCCACACACACACACAGAAACACAAACACACACCCUUGACGUACGCACGUGGCUGCGCAGAGGGGCUACAAAACAUAUUGUAUGCAUGGACGGGGCUGAGCAGAAAGCACUCUGAGACGAAAGGGCUCGACAAAGAAGAGCGAGAGCGAGAGAGAGAGAGAGAGAGAGAGAGAGAGAGAAGGAGAGAGAGAGAGAGAGAGAGAGGAGAGAGAGAGA
ensembl:lncRNA